rnacentral:rRNA from 1 species
UACAGAGGUCUCAAGCGUUGUUCGGAUUCAUUGGGCGUAAAGGGCGCGUAGGCGGUCUUGUAAGUCCUGUGUGAAAUCCCUCGGCUCAACUGAGGAACUGCACGGGAAACUGCUUGGCUUGAGUUCGGGAGAGGGAAGCGGAAUUCCGGGUGUAGCGGUGAAAUGCGUAGAUAUCCGGAGGAACACCGGUGGCGAAGGCGGCUUCCUGGACCGACACUGACGCUGAGGCGCGAAAGCUAGGGAGCAAACGGG